rnacentral:piRNA from 2 species
UGAAAAGGGUAGCCUGGACCAUGAGA